AGUAAGUAUAACGUUUCAAGAUGGCGGAGCGAAUUGCAUGGUUAUUGUUUCUACUCGAUGGAUUCGCAGAUAAUUCGGAAAUAGAUCAGAUUGGGAUCAAUAACUGUAUUGCAUACGAUCAUUUACAUGUAUAACCAGGUGUGUGUUGCCAGUAAUGGUUGAAGAUAUGCCAAACAAAUUGUGCCUCUCUACAGACAGAUUUCAGGUCUCAAUUUCGACUUCAAAGGUCAACAUAUCACUGAUAUCAGGAAUUCUGUACAACUGUGGAACCAUGUAUGGUACGUGACCGCACAAUGUUGGUUGGCAAAAGGAUAUUGGAAUAAGCAAAGGGACUCAACAUUACACAGUCAUUUCAACAUGUAGUCUUGUCAGCAAUGAUGGAGCAGUACUUCAGAUUUCCAGAAUCUCGUCAUGAGCUGAAGAUCAUUGCCUAUGAAUUUCAUGAAUGAUGUAGAAUGAUUGGACUGUUGAUGGAACCCACAGUGCAUGUCCUGCUUCAACAUCUGAGCAUAGGUCCUUGUUUAUCAGCAGUUUAGUUCUUCAAGCAGUCUGUGACAGUAACUUGAAAUGUUUGGACAUAUGACCUGGAUGGCCAAGUUCUGUGCAUGAAGCCCAUUUAAAUAGGAACGGCCCAGUGGCGCAUUAAAUGGACAUUUUUCGAAUGUUCUCGAGGAUUCAGCUUACCGCCUGACAAGAAAUCUUGCUUUUUGUUCAGUAUUGAGGCCAUGGACAUUUGUAUCAUUUGCAAAAGAUACUGCGAUAUUUGUGCCUUUGUUCAUGCUUUAUAGUUGAUUAACAAUUGGAAGCCAUAACCUGUUUUAUAGGAUGGUGUUAGUGAGACAAUGAAUUUUGUAAAGAUUUAAAGACUGGAAAAGAUAAUUAAAAGUCAAAAGAGUUGUGCUAUUGU